rnacentral:lncRNA from 1 species
CCUGUCCCGGCCACCACCUGCCCAACGCUGGGCUCGCGUCGGAAGUCGGCAGCCCGGGAGCGCCGGUUUUCCCAAACGCCUCGUACCAGUCGGUGAGCAAAGUUCCUCUAGCUUGUGUCAAGCACAGCAGGCUACUGCAGUUUCCCUUCGCUGUGAAGGAUACAACAGGAGGCUCUGGACAGAUUCUGGCACUCUAUGCAUUUUCAAGACUCCUAUGGA